rnacentral:lncRNA from 1 species
CUGGAAUAGCUUCGUUUAUACAAGUCAUUGUCUUGAAUCUUCAUCAUCGUGCAGAUCAACAAAUGUCUGAAUGGGUUGUUUUUAAUGUGCUGCAGCCACUAGCAACAAUUACUUUUAUCGAUGUGCCAGGAUUUACAGCUUGCAGAUGUAUAUCUAAACAGGUAAGACAUUGAUCAUUUAAAUGAAGGCCGAAAGAUACCAGAGGCACAGCCAACGCAUAGAUCGAAAAUAAACUGACAACGCCAUGGCUGAAAAAGAAAAUAAAAACAAACAGACAAAUAAUAGAGCACAACACACAGCACAGAAAACUAAAUACUAAGCAACACGAACACAAAAUGGAUGUGAUCUCAGGUGCUCCGCAAAGGUAAGCAAAUCCAUUCCUGCUCCACAUGUGGCACCCGUCAUGUUGCUCAUGUUAUUACAAACUCGGUAGAUCGUCUAAUUCGGUAGGUCAUAUUCGUGAAAAGGGAAGGUUAUUCAGUAACGGUCAAACAAGUCGUGAUGGCGUCCGUAAAAUUUACAAAAGGGUGAUUUCAACUUCACCAUUUGGAACUCUUGGUUUAAUAGCGUCCUUUUGAGCAGCAACCCUCUAUCAAGGAAAUCACGAUAGGACACACAAGCCCGGGAAUAUCGUAUCAAUUGUGAGAUAUAUACUCCGUGUGUCGGCGCUGCUGGAAUGUUGCUACAUAAAAAUGGAAAGUUCACAAUUGGGAAGCUAAAAUCAUCUCUUUUGUCGUAAAGCAUUGUUUUCAACGACCCUAAAUGUCAAUUUCUAGAUGUAAGUCAAGAUUUGAGGCAGAAUUAACUGUAUCUGUUGUAUUCUUUAUCUCUAGUUUGAUGCUACAUAGUCACCAAAUUUGGAAUUAUUUAGUCAGAGAACAUCAUCUAUAUAGCGGAAAGUAAAGUUAAAUGAAAUUGCUAACAUCUUAUCUUUCUUCCCAAGAAGUUCCUGUAUGAAGUCAACCUCAUAAUAAUAAAGAAACAAGUCGGCAAGAAGAGGGGCACAAUUGGUUCCUAUUGGAAUGCCGACAGUCUGUUGAAAAAAAAAAUCCUCAUAACGUUACAAAUAUGUUGCCUAUCGAGAAAUCAAGCAUCUUGAUGAUGUCAGUUUCAGAGAAUGUUUUGUUUGUAUCAGAGUGAUUUUUUACAAAGUAGGAUUUAUAGAUACUUGUAUUUACGUUGAAGUUUCUUUUUUUUGAAAAAAAACAAUACCAACUCUUUCAAUAUGUCCCUUUGUUUGGAAUAGAGAAUACUUGUGUAAAGUUUAGAAAGGUCAAAUGUUUUAAUACUAUUGCAAGAUAAAAGAGUCUUGAAUUGUAUACACUCUAAAAGAUCUUUGGAAUUUUUGAGUAUCCACAUCUGAUUCACGCCACCUCUAGAAUACUAGUAGUCAGUUUCACAAUUAGUUUGAAGUCCGGCUUUGGUUGCUAAUAAAAUAGAUGUUAAUUAUUUAGAAAGAGGUUUCGUGGAGCCCUUGGAAGACCAAGCAAUAUACCGUUGUUUAUAAGGACACUUACAUAGUUUAGGUAUCCAAUACAGUGAUGGAAGAUCCAGUACUUCGUCUUUGGUAGAAAUUCCAAAGGUGAAAAGAUCAGACCUAUGAUUAUCCAGGAUUUCCUCUUUUGAAAGUGUCGUGAGGGUAUAUGUUGAAUAUCCAAGUGAAUUGUAAUUAUCUAAUUCACUCAUUACAGUUUAUGUAAUGUGAUUUACGCACAAAAACGAUGUUGUUUGGAACUUUAUCUGCGGGGACAACUACAAAGUUGUCAUGGAGGUAGGACAAGUGUUUUGCAACAUUUGAGUCUUUAAAGAAUGGAUAUUGAGAAACCCAUUGAGUUUCUUAAUUCUGAUUUGUAUCAAAGACGUCACAGCCUUAAUCAAUUCAGAAAGAGUAUCUACGUGUUCUUUCUCGCGUUUAUCCCAUUGCCUGGCAUAAUCCUCAACUGAAUCUAUCAGUAUUUUAAAGUUGUAUUUCCAAUUGAUGGAUUUCGACUCACGAUAUUUCGGACCUUUGGAUAACACAUUGCGCAGGGAAGUGUUAUUGACAAUGUUGAGGUCACCGGUAAUAACGAAGGCAACCGGAUUGUAUGUGAAUUUGGAACUAGCAUAGGUACAAUCAGGAGGUUUAGACUUGAAGUCGUCAAUAUUGAGAUCCUGCAAAACGUGUUUGUAUUGAAAUUGAAAAUUUAUUUGCAAUUAGACUGGGAACUGAGGAAGAAAGAAUAGUUAAUUCACUUCACUGUGGCAUACAAUUUUUAAAGAUAAGCAAAUUUGGAUUAUUUUUCUGCAUGAAAUACCUUCCGACAUUUCUGAGCUACUGGUAUGGUAAAAUUGGCGUCAAGGGGUCUUUGUCCAAAACCAUACGAAAAGCAGGACAUGAUGAUUUAUCAUUAGUGUCACACUUACCGUUUCUUAACUGUGAUCUUGGAUUGUCUUUUAAAAAGUAAUAAUCUCAUUGCUUGUAUGUUUUAUUAUGAUCAGAAUUAGAAUUGUAUGAAAAUGUCAAUAUUAAUAACACAUAGCUGAGAGGGGGAUAUAGCAGAUUGUUACCCCGAGAAAACAUUGUCUAAAGCGGCGAAGCCAAGGUUGACAAUGCUUUUUCGAGGGUUACCAAUCUGCUCCAUCACCCUCUCAGCUAUGUGUUAUUUAAUUUAUUAUACUGAAUGUCCUAUCAUUAUAGUCUUUUACAGAUUAAUUUUAUUUGAAAAGUAUUUUCCAUGACGUCAUGUACAUAACAACGUUACGGGUAUUAGAAAAAACAACAAAAGUUAAGCAAGAUGUUUUAUUUUUUUAUUUUGACAGUCAAAUAACAAAAUCGGAGCCAAAACGUAGAAAUUAAACAUUGUAUUUUAAAAUUACUUGAUGUAAAUUCAAUUCAUUGUCCUUUGAAUUAUCGAUUUCUAAUCGGUCUAGACGAGAGGGUAACAUUCAAAAAAAUUGUUACCCUCUCAGCCAUGUGAUAGAGUAAAUUAACACCCUCGUAUCAGCCAAUCAAAAUAUGGCAUUUUAACGUGAAGUAUAAUGAUACCACGUACAUGAUGUACACACCUUCUGAAUUGAAACUGACCACACGAAUGGUACACGUACGCAGAAUGAAUGAUGAACGGACACUGAAUGCACGAUGAAUGAUUCAUACAUGAUGAGUGUUGAUCGUUACACGGACGAUGCAUGCACGUUGAGUGAUGACGGCGUUACACGGACCAUGACUACAUGUCGAGCGAAGAGCGUUACACGGACGAUGAAUGCACGUUGAGUGUCGAUUGUUACACGUACGAUGAACACACGUUGAGUGUUGAUUGUUACACGGAAGAUGAAUGCACGGUCAGUGAUGAGUGUUACACGGACAAUUACUACACGUUGAGUGUUGAUCGUUACACGGACGAUGAAUGUACGUUGAGUGAUAAACGUUACACGGACGAUGAAUGCACGUUAAGUGAUGAACGUUACACGGACGUUGAAUUCAUGCACGUUGAGUGUUGAUCGUUACACGAACGAUGAAUGCACAUUGAGUGAUGAACGUUACACGGACGAUGAAUGCACGUUGAGUGACGAACGUUACACGGACGAUGAAUGUACGUUGAGUGUUGAUCUUUACACGGACGAUGAAUGCACGUUGAGUGUUGAUUGUUACACGUACGAUGAACACACGUUGAGUGUUGAUAGUUACACGGUCGAUGAAAGCACGUUGAGUGUUGAUUGUUACACGUACGACGAAUGCACGUUGAGUGUUGAUCGUAACACGGACGAUGCAUGCACGAUGAGUGAUGAGCUUUACACGGACCAUGACUAAACGUUGAGUAAAGAGCGUGACACGGACGAUUUAUAUCAUUAGUAGCUCCAAGUGGUACAUAUAUGGAUAUUGCAGUCCAAUAGUGAAUACAUAUAUAUUAUAUAAUAAUUUUUUUUUUUAUAUUUGUUUUAUUUAACUAGUUUUUCUAUACGAACUUGAUUUUGAAUUAACCGUGACAACAUAUUUACCAGAAUGAAAGUGAUAGUGAUCGCGCUAAAUGUCACAUGUUUUCCAAGUUUAAGUAUGGCAAAAUGUUUGAUGUACACACACUUUUGAUAAAUAAAUGUCAAAACCUAUUUUUUUCUGGCGGAAUGUUCAGAGAAGAAAAAUGAAGUUAAGCUGUUUACAAUGUAUUUAUUUUGUGUAUUUUCAGGAUGAGAACAUGAUUAAGCAGAAGAUAUUUAUCCCAGAAGAUGCCCAGCUAUGGAUAUUAUUAGCAAAGUGUGUCGAUAGACUUGGUCUGAUGCUGUUUUUGUUGACAUUUUCAGUUGGUACAGGAAUAAUUUUUGCAUCUUUUUAAAUUAGGGAGCACACGGGUUGAUGAAAAAAAAAUUGCAUAUUCUGAUCUCUCAAGUUAACUAUCAUAGACCAGUGUAUAUAGUUGAUGCAUUAUUCAUUUUAUCACUGAUUUUAUUGUAUGCAAUGUCGUGUGAUCUCAUUUUGAAUCCUC